GAUGAAGAACGUAGCGAAAUGCGAUAAGUAGUGUGAAUUGCAGAAUUCAGUGAAUCAUCGAAUCUUUGAACGCACCUUGCGCCCUUUGGCCAUUCCGAAGGGCAUGCCUGUUUGAGUAUCAUGAACACCUCAACUCUUUAUGGUUUUCCAUGAUGAGCUUGGACUCUGGGGGUUUUGCUGGCUCACAGUCGGCUCCUCUGAAAUGAAUCAGCUUACCAGUGUUUGGUGGGUAUCAUAGGUGUGAUAACUAUCUACGCUUGUGGUUUUUCCACCAGGUAACCUUCAGCAGUGGAGGUUCGCUGGAGCUCAUAGAUGUCUCUCCUCAGUGAGGACAGCCCUUUGAAUGUUUGAUCUCAAAUCAGGUAGGACUACCCGCUGAACUUAAGCAUAUCAAUAAGCGGAGGA
rnacentral:misc_RNA from 1 species